rnacentral:rRNA from 1 species
UACAGAGGCCUCGAGCGUUAGGCGGAAUCACUGGGCUUAAAGCGUGUGUAGGCGGACUUCUAAGUACCUUGUGAAAUCCCACGGCUCACCCGUGGAACUGCUCGGUAUACUGGUCGUCUUGAGCCUUCUAGGGGCGAGUGGAACAAUGUGGAGCGGUGAAAUGCGUAGAUAUCAUUUGGAACGCCAAUGGUGAAAACAACUCGCUGGGGAAGUGCUGACGCUGAGACACGAAAGCCAGGGGAGCGAACGGG